rnacentral:rRNA from 1 species
UACGUAGGGUGCAAGCGUUAAUCGGAAUUACUGGGCGUAAAGCGUGCGCAGGCGGUUUUAUAAGUCUGUUGUGAAAUCCCCGGGCUCAACCUGGGAAUGGCAAUGGAGACUGCAAGGCUAGAGUUUGGCAGAGGGGGGUAGAAUUCCACGUGUAGCAGUGAAAUGCGUAGAGAUGUGGAGGAACACCGAUGGCGAAGGCAGCCCCCUGGGUCAAAACUGACGCUCAUGCACGAAAGCGUGGGGAGCAAACAGG